GCAAGCACUGCCUGUUAGCCACGGAGAAACUGAAACAGGUAAGGUCUGCACAAAAAAGGAGCAGCCAGCUUCGCCAGUAACAAGCCCAGUAGAGCUCAAAGAAUGUAUAGAAGAGUUAGUAAAGUUCACUCCUGGGGUUCAAUUUAGGCCCCUCAAGGGAGUCCUCUUCUUACCUGCUCAAAGAAGAUCAAAAUGAUCACUACCCCAUUUCACAUACUACUUAUGUCUGUGAAUUAAACUGUUGCAGAUUGCUUCAGAGUUCAGACAAGUUCCUCCACAGCCUCUAUACAAGUGCCUAGCGAUGGCAUUGUAUGAUUCUGUAACCUGUGGAAAGGCAUCUAAGAAAAAGGACUUGGCGGAUGAAGACAGUGAGUCCAAACAGAGAAGAGAAUGGAAUGAUUUGGUUCUGAAUGAAGGAACUGAAUUGAUAUUAAAGACUGUAAACCUUGAACUUCAUGUUCAGGAGCCUUUCUUCACAUAACUGAAAGAUGGGCUGAAAACAAUUGAAGGGAGGUGUGCUGUAGGUAACUAUAAAUGGUAGAGUUGGUGUCUGUUUACUUUUAUGUAGUUGGUACCCAUUUCUUUCUGGUGCAAUUUAGGUUUCUUGUUUGACUUUUUAUGUGUCUAUUUUGGUUAUUCCCCUUCGUUUGGUUCCAGAAUGGCAUCAGGAGCAGCAAUCCUUUUCAAUAAGUGUGUUGCUUCAGGUUCAGGUGAUAAUAAUUCCAUUCAAACUUCCUAUGCUUUCUUGUUGCAAUUUGGUUUUCUAAUAACCUCUUCUCAGCAAGAUUUUCAUCGCUAUGCUUCAUUUUUUGAGAUGUUGGAAGCAGGGCCUUGAAAAGUCCUUCCUGGAGUAAACACCAUAGCUGAAGGUAACAACCUGCACUUCACCGGAAAAAAACAGCUCAUUUUGGAAGGGCUAAGAUAGAUUUUUUUUUUUUAAUAUAUGGGCCAAAAUAAAUGCCUUUAUGCUUAGUGUUUAUAGCCCCGUGUCUCAUUUUUAUAUCUUUAUACCUCAA